CCGGGACAGGCAGCCCCCGCUGCAGCGGCCAGUGCGGAGCCCCGGGGUUCGCUCCCGUGCCAGCCCAAGCUCUAGUUCGAAGCCCAGGUCCCGUCCGCGACCUCGCACCGAGCCCCAGGCCCCUUCUAGAACAGCUGGAAAGUCCCUCAACCCGCAUCACUCGAUCCAGGACAUUCUGGACGAGCCUCUGGAGCCGCUGGCAGGUGAGUCCUGGAUCCGGGACGACGGUAUUGGAGGUGGGUGAGGGUCAAGGGAGGCUCGUGGGGCUCUGGCGCAGAGGCACCUCCUGUGGCACCCAAGGGAAAGGAGCUCGAAGGCUCUGGGAGGGGGCAAGGAGUGAGGUCACGGGACGCCCAAGGGACCAGGGAGGGGCAAAGACGUCUGACAGCCCCUUCCUUCUCUCCUUCCCCUCUACUCCUCUCAGAAGCUCUGCCUCCACCCCCUCUGGAUUUCCCGGGCUCCUUCGACCUCCUGUCUCCAUCCCCGCCGCCGGGCUCCGAGGGCCUGUCCUCCGUCUUCUCCUCCUGGCCUCCGUCCCCGGCUAGCUCGCCAUCGCCAGGCCCGGGGCGUCCCCUGGAGGCCGCCGAUUGGCUGGAGGCUCUGACCGGAAGCCCAGCUCUGGACUGCUCCGGCCCAACCCCCAGCAUCUUCUGCACCGACUUCUCAGAGCCCGGGACCAGCAGACUCUGGGACUUGGGGGUGGAGGAGUGGUGAUGGGAGCCAGCAGGAGGGGGGGCCCUGCCGGGGACAGGCACCCAACAGACAGGGACAUCCGCAAGUCAGGAGCCACAAGAAAUGGCCACAUGCAUCCCGACAGAAAUUCACAGACGCACUCACAGUCACACGCAAAUACUGGCAGAGUAGGACAGAAACCAGCACAGAGAAAAAGUGCCGUUUCCACAAAGAGAAGCACAGGAAAACCUGCAGAGGCAGAGACACAGAUGGGGCCAGAGGAUGAGGGAGGGGAAUGAGAGGGGAACAGAGGCAGGGCCGCUGACAUUCAGAACUACAGAAAUGGCCCGUCAUUCACAGGGACCCUGACUAGUGGAGAGAAGGACCUUAAAUUGAGGGGCUCCAAUCCCCAAUCCUGCCCACAUUGAGAGUCUGGGAUUGGACAGGCACAAGGACAGCUGAGUGAUGUUGAAGAAGCCUCCCCCUUCCCCCAUCUUCUUAGCAGACUGUCGAAUUCUCAAACAUUCAUCUGUUUUCUCCUCUAAAAUGUAAAGGCCAGUCUGGUCAUUUCUCAGGACCUGGCCUGCCUCAGGUGUGUGAUUGUAGACUGGAUUGUGAACUACCCUUAGGGAAGGUCCUUAAUAUCUCUGGUCCUCAGUUUCCCCAUCUUUAAAAUGAAGGAGUGAGACAGAUUCUAAGCCCCCACUGCCUUUCAGAAUCUGUGAUUUCUAGACUAGACUCACUGUGUGAUUUUGGUGUCAACUAGUCUCUCUGGGCCUCAGUAAAAUGAGGACUCAAGGUUACUGGGCUCCAACUCUUCAGAAGCUUCAGUCUUCACUGGGGAGAGCGAGGCUAUACAGACACCCACGUCCA
ensembl:lncRNA